AUCCAACUGACGAGUCCUAAAUAGGACGAAACGUGCGUCCUGGAU
rfam:Schistosoma haematobium scaffold468_12, whole genome shotgun sequence.